UACGUAGGGGGCUAGCGUUGUCCGGAAUCAUUGGGCGUAAAGCGCGUGUAGGCGGUUCGGUAAGUCCGCUGUGAAAGUCGAGGGCUCAACCCUCGGAUGCCGGUGGAUACUGUCGGACUAGAGUGCGGAAGAGGCGAGUGGAAUUCCUGGUGUAGCGGUGAAAUGCGCAGAUAUCAGGAGGAACACCAAUUGCGAAGGCAGCUCGCUGGGACGUUACUGACGCUGAGACGCGAAAGCGUGGGGAGCAAACAGG
rnacentral:rRNA from 1 species